AUCGGCCCCAUGUUGAAUUAAAAGUUCAAUGCAGUCAGGAUUGCCAGAGCCAGCAGCAUCAUAUAGCACACUGUCUCCAUUUGGUGCCUGAGCAUUUACAUCGCCCCCUGUUGUUGUGGAGGACAUCAUGAUUUAGUGUUAGUUUACUGGUUUAAUGUAUAUAUGUAAAUGUAUAAUGUGUACUAUUUUCUUUCUUCUGGAAACAUUGGUCAACCAGUAUUACCAUAGUGAAUAAGGAUGUCCAGUGCCUCUGCUUGUCCGUACUCCGCAGCAAUCCCCAUGGGCGUCACUCCAUGCUCGUCUGUCUCCAAGACAUUUCCUCCAUUUUGCAGCAGGAGCGUAAGAAUGUCAGUGCAGCCCACCUUGGCUGCCUCAUGAAUAGCUGUCCAAUUUUUAGGGCAGGCUUGGUUAACCGAUGCCCCCCGUGAGAUAAGUGUAAAGGCGAUUUCAAAUGAGUCUGUUCUUACAGCUCCAAAACAAAACAUAAGAGCUUAUUUAAAAAAAGGUUCUGAAGGCACUAAAGAAAUUACAAAUGCUACCUACCCAAUAAUAAAGGGGAUUCAUUUUUGCUGUUGAUUCUGUUAGGUGAAGCGCCAUUCUCAAGCAGAGUCCUAACAAUCUCCACCAGCCCAGCCUGAGUCGCCAAAAUCAAUGGCGUCUCUCCAUCUGCCGUUUCCUCCUCUAAGCUCAACCUAUUCCCAAAGGGAACUUCUUAUCUGAACAUCGCACCUUCCGAGAGAGGCGAUGUCUUUACACGAUUCCUGAAUGCUCAGUUGAACUGCAGCAUCAAGAAGCUCAUCUUCCUCAUCUAGGUCAUCUAAUGGAUCCAUUUUCCUGGAGACGACAGAGGUGCUUCAGGGAUCGUGGGUUGUCUGGAACAAAUUCAGAAGCUUUAGUCUGCAUUCCCUGAGACUAGAGAAACCAUCGAUCUGUUGCUAGACAACAUCUCACAUGCAUUUGGUCAGUUUGAGACUGAUGGAUAUCAGCCGUGAGCAGAGGGGGACGCAGAUGACAUAGUCCAGCAGGAUCAGCACCACUCGUCCAGACAGGCCAACCAGGCAGCACAAACUCAUGAAGUCACAGAACUGUGAUGCAAUGGCAACAUAAACAUAGCAAUUGAAAUCCAUAAUAUUCAUAAUUUAGAUGACACAACAUUGUUCAUGUAGAUGUAUGUCAUUCCAAACAACCCCCAUGUUGAAAUGGAAGUCAUGGUGACAGUGGAAACAUUUGUCUACAUCAUAUCCAUUAUUCAGAAGUAAUCGGAUCAUCUCCUCGUCCUUCAGGCAGUAUUGUAAGGCAGUGGGAAACACGGUGUUGUUAACCUCAGUGAAGUAACAGUUCACAUCUGCUCGGUUGGCCAGGAGAAUCCUGACAAUCUCGUACAUCCCAGCUCUCACCGCAACUAGGAGGCACUGCAGGGGAUCCAGAUCAGGUUUGGCUCCAGCGUUCAACAGCAUCUCUGUGCAAGUUACAUCUCCAUUUGAGACGGCAAAGUAAAGGGCGCUCCUACGCAUGUCGCUGUAGUUGUCAGAGAUGGUUUGGUCAAGUUGAGCGUUCACAUCAAAACCACUAUCAACCAGGAGCUGCAGGCACUGCGCAUGACCUCCAUCUGCAGCAAAGUGAACUGGACUCUGACCAGACUGUACGAGAGCCUUCUUGCUUGUGACAGAUAUCAGUAUUUUUAAUACACUGAAAAUGGAAUCGGUAUGACGCAGGUAGUGGCCCUCGAAGGCUGCACGAUGAAUAGGAAGAUGCCCGGUCAAACUGGGCAAGUUUGGUGAGGCUCCAUGUUCAAGCAGAAGAUCCACACAGUCUGGGUUUCCAGAACCAGCUGCAUCCAUCAACACACUUUCACCC